UGCUUGCUUCAGCAGCAGUGGACUGAAAUUGGAACAAUGGAGAGAAGAUUAGCAUGGCUCCUGUGCAAAGAUAACAAGAAAAUUCAUGAAGCGUUGCGUACGUUU